AUACGUAGGUGGCAAGCGUUAUCCGGAAUUAUUGGGCGUAAAGAGGGAGCAGGCGGCAGCAAGGGUCUGUGGUGAAAGCCUGAAGCUUAACUUCAGUAAGCCAUAGAAACCAGGCAGCUAGAGUGCAGGAGAGGAUCGUGGAAUUCCAUGUGUAGCGGUGAAAUGCGUAGAUAUAUGGAGGAACACCAGUGGCGAAGGCGACGAUCUGGCCUGCAACUGACGCUCAGUCCCGAAAGCGUGGGGAGCAAAUAGGAUUAGAUACCCUAGUAGUCCACGCCGUAAACGAUGAGUACUAAGUGUUGGAUGUCAAAGUUCAGUGCUGCAGUUAACGCAAUAGGUACUCCGCCUGAGUAGUACGUUCGCAAGAAUGAAACUCAAAUGAAUUGGCGGGG
rnacentral:rRNA from 1 species